rnacentral:pre_miRNA from 1 species
GUAGUAUUCCCUCCGUCCCAAAAUUCUUGUCUUACAUUUGUUUAGAUACGGAUGUAUCUAACACUAAAAUGUAACUAGAUACAUCCGUAUUUAGAUAAAUUUAAGACAAGAAUUUUGGGACAUAGGGAGUACAAA